rnacentral:rRNA from 1 species
UACUGCCAGACUUGGAACCGGGAGAGGUAAGAGGUACUACAGGGUAGGAGUGAAAUCUUGUAAUCCCUGUGGGACCACCUGUGGCGAAGGCGUCUUACCAGAACGGGUUCGACGGUGAGGGACGAAAGCUGGGGGGCACGAACCGGAUUAGAUACCCGGGUAGUCCCCAGCCGUAAACGAUGCUCGCUAGGUGUCAGGCAUGGCGCGACCGUGUCUGGUGCCGCAGGGAAGCCGUGAAGCGAGCCACCUGGGAAGUACGGCCGCAAGGCUGAAACUUAAAGGAAUUGGCGGGGGAGCACAACAACGGGUGGAGCCCCUGCGGUUUAAUUGGACUCAACGCCGGACAACUCACCGGGGGCGACAGCAAUAUGUAGGCCAAGCUGAAGACUUUGCCUGAAUCGCUGAGUAGAGGUGCAUGG